AUUGAACGCUGGCGGCAGGCCUAACACAUGCAAGUCGAGCGAGCGGCGGACGGGUGAGUAGUGUAUGGGGAUCUGCCCGAUAGAGCGAGAUAACUACUGGAAACGGUGGAUAAUACCGCAUACUAUCGGUUGGACCCCUAUGGGUUUAGCUAGUAGGUGGGGUAAAGGCUCACGUAGGCGACGAGCUCUAGCUGGUCUGAGAGGAUGAUCGGCCACACUGGGACUGAGACACGGCCCAGACUCCUACGGGAGGCAGCAGUGGGGAAUAUUGCACAAUGGGCGCAAGCCUGAUGGAGCCAUGCCGCGUGUAUGAAGAAGGCCUUAGGGUUGUAAAGGACUUUCAUCGGGGAGGCGUUACCCGCAGAAGAAGCACCGGCUAACUCCGUGCCAGCAGCCGCGGUAAUUC
rnacentral:rRNA from 1 species